rnacentral:rRNA from 1 species
AGAGUUUGAUCCUGGCUCAGGAUGAACGCUAGCUACAGGCUUAACACAUGCAAGUCGAGGGGCAGCAUGGUCUUAGCUUGCUAAGGCCGAUGGCGACCGGCGCACGGGUGAGUAACACGUAUCCAACCUGCCGUCUACUCUUGGACAGCCUUCUGAAAGGAAGAUUAAUACAAGAUGGCAUCGUGAGUCCGCAUGUUCACAUGAUUAAAGGUAUUCCGGUAGACGAUGGGGAUGCGUUCCAUUAGAUAGUAGGCGGGGUAACGGCCCACCUAGUCUUCGAUGGAUAGGGGUUCUGAGAGGAAGGUCCCCCACAUUGGAACUGAGACACGGUCCAAACUCCUACGGGAGGCGGCAGUGAGGAAUAUUGGUCAAUGGGCGAGAGCCUGAACCAGCCAAGUAGCGUGAAGGAUGACUGCCCUAUGGGUUGUAAACUUCUUUUAUAAAGGAAUAAAGUCGGGUAUGCAUACCCGUUUGCAUGUACUUUAUGAAUAAGGAUCGGCUAACUCCGUGCCAGCAGCCGCGGUAAUACGGAGGAUCCGAGCGUUAUCCGGAUUUAUUGGGUUUAAAGGGAGCGUAGACGGAUGUUUAAGUCAGUUGUGAAAGUUUGCGGCUCAACCGUAAAAUUGCAGUUGAUACUGGAUAUCUUGAGUGCAGUUGAGGCAGGCGGAAUUCGUGGUGUAGCGGUGAAAUGCUUAGAUAUCACGAAGAACUCCGAUUGCGAAGGCAGCCUGCUAAGCUGCAACUGACAUUGAGGCUCGAAAGUGUGGGUAUCAAACAGGAUUAGAUACCCUGGUAGUCCACACGGUAAACGAUGAAUACUCGCUGUUUGCGAUAUACAGCAAGCGGCCAAGCGAAAGCGUUAAGUAUUCCACCUGGGGAGUACGCCGGCAACGGUGAAACUCAAAGGAAUUGACGGGGGCCCGCACAAGCGGUGGAACUUGUGGUUUAAUUCGAUGAUACGCGAGGAACCUUACCCGGGCUUAAAUUGCAGAUGAAUUACGGUGAAAGCCGUAAGCCGCAAGGCAUCUGUGAAGGUGCUGCAUGGUUGUCGUCAGCUCGUGCCGUGAGGUGUCGGCUUAAGUGCCAUAACGAGCGCAACCCUUGUUGUCAGUUACUAACAGGUUCUGCUGAGGACUCUGACAAGACUGCCAUCGUAAGAUGUGAGGAAGGUGGGGAUGACGUCAAAUCAGCACGGCCCUUACGUCCGGGGCUACACACGUGUUACGAUGGGGGGUACAGAGGGCCGCUACCACGCGAGUGGAUGCCAAUCCCCAAAACCUCUCUCAGUUCGGACUGGAGUCUGCAACCCGACUCCACGAAGCUGGAUUCGCUAGUAAUCGCGCAUCAGCCACGGCGCGGUGAAUACGUUCCCGGGCCUUGUACACACCGCCCGUCAAGCCAUGGGAGCCGGGGGUACCUGAAGUGCGUAACCGCGAGGAGCGCCCUAGGGUAAAACUGGUGACUGGGGCUAAGUCGUAACAAGGUA